rnacentral:rRNA from 1 species
CGGAACACGUACGCAACCUUCCUUUAACUGGAGAAUAGCCCCUCGAAAGAGGGAUUAAUACUCCGUAACAUCACGAUAUGGCAUCAUAAUGUGAUUAUAGCUCCGGCGGUUAAAGAUGGGCGUGCGCCUGAUUAGAUAGUUGGCGGGGUAACGGCCCACCAAGUCUGCGAUCAGUAACUGGUGUGAGAGCACGACCAGUCACACGGGCACUGAGACACGGGCCCG